GAGUUUGAUCAUGGCUCAGGACGAACGCUGGCGGCGUGCGUAAUACAUGCAAGUCGAGCGGACCUUCGGGUCAGCGGCGGACGGGUGAGGAACACGUGAGUCAUCUGUCGGUGGGUGGGGGAUAUCGGGCCGAAAGGCGCGGCAAUCCCGCAUACGUUCCUUCGGGAAGAAAGCUGGGCAACUGGCGCCCGCCGGGGAGCUCGCGGCCCAUUAGCUAGUUGGUAGGGUAACAGCCUCCCAAGGCGACGAUGGGUAGCCGGCCUGAGAGGGUGAACGGCCACACUGGGACUGAGACACGGCCCAGACUCCUACGGGAGGCAGCAGUAGGGAAUCUUCCACAAUGGGCGCAAGCCUGAUGGAGCAACGCCGCGUGAGUGAAGACGGCCUUCGGGUUGUAAAGCUCUGUCUGUCGGGACGAAGACCGGGACGGGAGUCCCGGGGAGCCGGUACCGACGAAGGAAGCCCCUGCAAACUACGUGCCAGCAGCCGCGGUAAGACGUAAGGGGCAAGCGUUGUCCGGAAUUACUGGGCGUAAAGGGCGAGUAGGCGGUGCGAUACGUAGCGG
rnacentral:rRNA from 1 species